CAACACACACUGUUCCUCAGGAGAUGGUUGCCCCCGAACUACCUCUAGGAGGGAUAACAGCACCAUAUUCUGGACACAGGAGGGACUUUUUUCCAGGAUUUCUAACCUGGUGGUUUGGCGUCAUGAGGAAAACCAUGCGUUUGAGCAGCAGGCCCAGGUGGAACAACUGGUAACACUCAGUGGUGCAAGCUUUUACCUGAAGAAGAGGGAGAAGCAGAGAGGAGCAGGUAUUUCUGCCUCCGUAGCUGCAGAGACUGGAUCUGUGAUUGUGUGCCACCUGCUGC